CGGGAAGAGCUCAAAUUUAUAAUCUGGCACCUUCGGUGUCCGAGUUGUAAUCUCUAGAAAUGUUUUCCGCGUUGGACCGCACACAAGUCUGUUGGAAUACAGCGGCAUAGUGGUGAGACCCCCGUAUAUGGUGCGGACGCCCAGCGCUUUGUGAUACAUUUUCGAAGAGUCGAGUUGUUUGGGAAUGCAGCUCAAAUUGGGUGGUAAAUUCCAUCUAAAGCUAAAUAUUGGCGAGAGACCGAUAGCGAACAAGUACCGUGAGGGAAAGAUGAAAAGCACUUUGGAAAGAGAGUUAACAGUACGUGAAAUUGUUGGAAGGGAAACGCUUGAAGUCAGACUUGCUUGCCGAGCAAUCGGUUUGCAGGCCAGCAUCAGUUUUCCGGGAUGGAUAAUGGUAGAGAGAAGGUAGCAGUUUCGGCUGUGUUAUAGCUCUCUGCUGGAUACAUCUUGGGGGACUGAGGAACGCAGUGUGCCUUUGGCGGGGGUUUCGACC
rnacentral:rRNA from 1 species